CACUUGCAGUGCGGCGCGCGCGCACGCUGCCUCCUCAUAUAGCGCCCCUCUCACGAUACUUUCACCGCCCCCUCCCCACGUCUCACGACCACCGACUCCUGCGCAACUCCUCGUCAUACGGAGCUACGAAAUACACUCAUCUUAUUUUAAUAUAUGAUAAUUACUGAUAAUACAGGUUAAUCUUACAUCAUCGUGCCUUAGAAACGGGUCAAGAUGCUGAAUAGACGGGCUUCGCCGUUUCACUGAUAAGAGAGUACGAAAUAAGUGGAGGUCAGGGAGCGGUCGCCGUGAUGACACUGUUUAGCAAUGAUCCUCAUUUGGCUGGCACCAUACUUGACACCAGCUGGCGUACACGUCCCAUUGCGUUACGUACAACCUUCUACCUCUGACUUGCUCGAUUUCUUUAUGACAUGUAAAUUAUUUUCUAUUUUA